rnacentral:tRNA from 1 species
GAGGGUAUAGCUCAGUGGUAGAGCGCAUGCUUAAUAUGCACAAGGUUGUGGGUUCAAUCCCCCGUACCUCCU